rnacentral:lncRNA from 1 species
AACAUAUUUUACCUACAAGAUUAUUUAUUUUAUUUUAAAAAAUUUACUAAAAAGUGAAAUAUGUUAGUUUAUUCUAGACGUUGAAUCGCAGUUUUUAUUUACCAAAUAUUUAAAAUUUUCAAGUAAAUCAAAAGUAUAUUUAAAAUAAGGGAAAACUUCAAAAACCCCCCUGUGAUUUCGUAGUUUCUCACUUUGCCCCCCAGUGGUUUAAAAUGUAUCAAUUUGCCCACUGUGGUUUCUUUUUUUUCUUUUUCUUAUCAAUUUCAUUACAAAUCAGUAAUAAAGUUAAAAUUAAAGGGUAGUAAAGUGAAUAUUUGAUAAAUCUAGAUGGGUAUCUGAAGUUUUUUGUAUAUAAUUUAAUGAAAUAUUAACGAAAAAGAUACUGAAAAGAUAAAAACAAAAUCACAGGGGGGCAAUUUGAUACAUUUUAAAGCACAGGGGGGCAAAGUGAGAAACUACGAAUCCACAGGUUUUUUUUGAAGUUUUUCCUUAAAAUAAAGAAUUCAUGCAUCCAACCAGAACCUGAGUCCACUGGCUAAUCAAUAUUUUCUAUAUUACAUUACAUCAUAUAU